rnacentral:piRNA from 1 species
UGUGCCACUUUUUUGAGGCCUUGUCCACAGU